AAGACCGCUGCCGCCAGGCAGCACUGAUGCGGUCACCCAGUCAGCAGGCUACGCUGCCGGCAGCGCUCCACUGGCCAGAGCGGGGUGAGGACCCCUGUCGGUGUGAUGUCGGCCAGGGGAACAUCUGUAGCGACCGAAUACAGGGCGGGCCCCCCACUGUGACGGGUGAAGCUGAGACGCGUCUCUGUGACCUGUCCAGGUCACCGUGCAGCCACCUUUCCGUUGCGGGUCAGAACUUCGUGCCCUCCGUCAAGCUGAGGUGUAAGGUCGUACAACCAGAAAGCCAUAGGACUUUCGUCGUCACAGCCACCUAUCGGUCACAGAAGGAAAUACAAUGUCGGCUGCCUGCCGAAAUAUUCCGACGCCUGAGGCACACAGAUGACGUCACGCGGUGGCAAGUUCGGGUAUCAUACGACGGAGACAGGUGGAGUCUUCCCGUGGUAUUCAUUACGUACAACGGUGACUGCCGCCGCUGCCAUCUGGUGGCGAACGCUCUGGCAUGUAGCAGGGUGCAAAG